rnacentral:lncRNA from 1 species
UGUCCCCCUCCCUCGCCUCCCGCCCUCUCUCAUUUGCGCCUUCAAGCAGUCCGGGGGCGGAGGAGGCUUUUAAAACAAAACACAAAACAAGAUCUUACAGAGGCCGAGGCCCGCGGGAGCCGGAGCGCCGAGGGGUCUGCAGGAGGCGCCCCUCCGGCCGGCGGCGCCCCGGGCUCCCGCCUCCCCGCCCGCCGCACCUGGGCGUCCGCGGGGCGCGCGGCGAGGGCCUGGCGCCCUCUGCCGGGUCCCCGGGCCGCCCUCCGGGCCUCCACCUGCGGCCGCCGCGGAGCCGAACGCACGGGCAGGCCGGACCCUCCGCGGCGGCCUGCGGCAGCCGAGGUCCACAAGCGGCCGGCCUAGCCCCGGACUUGCGUUGGGAGGACUUCGCUGUUCCGCAGCUGGAAGCGACGCCAGGACUCGGUCGGGGAAAAGACCUGGACUCCAGACUGUUAAGAGGACCUCGUAUGCGCUCCUGGGGAGGAUACCGCGUCUGUACAUUCGGUGAUUAAAACCUGUCCUCUUUCAUCCCCAUGCUUGAAAAUACGGCGUCUAAAGCUGCUAUGUUAAAAACAAUCAGGAUCCAGAAAAUGUUUAAUUCUGAGUGUUGCUUUGAGGCUUCGGCUUUCUCUG